UAUUGGAGUACAACUUUGAGCGGUGGAUCACUCGGCUCGUGCGUCGAUGAAGAGUGCAGCCAACUGUGUGAAUUAAUG
rnacentral:rRNA from 2 species